rnacentral:rRNA from 1 species
UAGUCCACGCCGUAAACGGUGGGCGCUAGAUGUGGGGACUAUUCCAUGGUCUCUGUGUCGCAGCUAACGCAUUAAGCGCCCCGCCUGGGGAGUACGGCCGCAAGGCUAAAACUCAAAGGAAUUGACGGGGGCCCGCACAAGCGGCGGAGCAUGCGGCUUAAUUCGAUGCAACGCGAAGAACCUUACCUAGACUUGACAUAUACGGAAAACAUGCAGAGAUGUAUGGUCCGAAAGGGCCGUAUACAGGUGGUGCAUGGUUGUCGUCAGCUCGUGUCGUGAGAUGUUGGGUUAAGUCCCGCAACGAGCGCAACCCUCGUUCUAUGUUGCCAGCGGUUCGGCCGGGGACUCAUAGGAGACUGCCGUGGUCAACACGGAGGAAGGUGGGGAUGACGUCAAAUCAUCAUGCCCCUUAUGUCUAGGGCUGCACGCGUGCUACAAUGGCUGGUACAAAGGGCUGCGAUACCGCAAGGUGGAGCGAAUCCCAAAAAGCCAGUCUCAGUUCGGAUUGGGGUCUGCAACUCGACCCCAUGAAGUUGGAGUCGCUAGUAAUCGCAGAUCAGCAAUGCUGCGGUGAAUACGUUCCCGGGCCUUGUACACACCGCCCGUCACGUCACGAAAUCGGUAACACCCGAAG